rnacentral:lncRNA from 1 species
UUGGCCAAUACUGCUCAUGUGGGUCGUUCCUCUUCGUCCAAGCAAGUCAAUCAGCCUUUGCAUCAGGACCCAAGUGGAGACAAGCAACCAGAUGUGAACUUGGGGUAUGGGGUGUCUCGCUUGGUCCCCAAUACAACUAUGGUCGUGCAUCAAAAGCAUAGUCUAGUUGUUAUACAAGGAGGGGUUCAUGCAUUAUCAUCCAUGGAUGUGGAGUUAAUGGGUUCUGGUGAUCCUCACACUAUUUUGAAUGAAUCUGCACUUUCACGGGAAGUGGAGAUUUAAAUUUAAGUGAGGUUUGAAAUCUUCUCUUAUGUUUUUAUGAUGUUGUACAAAGACUUUUCCAUCCUUUCAUGGAACAUCUGUGGCACAGUUAAUGCUAAAGGUCAUUGUCAUGCUAAGGAGUUGAUAUGUUUGUAUGAUUUUUCCCCUAUUCUUUUGCUUGAAACUGAUUGCCUCUUGUGGCGACAACGCAAUUCUAGCAGGAGUUGGGUUAUAAGGUCUUUCAUAUAGUGGAAGCAGUUGCACAUGUCAAGGGAAUUUAGAUUCUCUCUCUCUCUCCAUAAUUUAGACUUUUCAGUGUGAGUAUGGAGAGUUUUGAGCAAGUUGUUUCUUUCAAUAUCUAGUGCAAUUCUCAGAUUUGGGUUGUACUACUAUAUAUAUGAGUUUGCAAUUCCAAACUAGGACCAAACUAUGGGAGUAUUUGGCUAAUCUUUGUAUUAAAAUCAAGGAUUCUUGGCUCUUGGUUGGGGAUUUUAAUGAAAUCACUAAACCCUCAGAGGUUAGGGGUGGUAAUUUCUCCCUACCAAGAGCCAGCCAAUUUCUGGACAUAAUGGAUAAGUGCGAUUUUCUAGACCUUGGUGUUGUUGGCAAUCCCUUUACAUGGUGUAGGAGGAAGAAAGGCACUAGUCUAGCGAAAAGGCUUGAUAGGCAUGCCUGGAGAAUGAAAUUUCUAGAAGCCUGUGCUGAAAAUAUCUAUAGAGUUUUACUCAGACCAUUCCUCAGUCGUCCUUAUUAAGUGUGGUGGACUCCCCUUCAAAAGAAGUGUUCAUCCUUUUCGAUUUCAGGCGGCCUAGGCCACACACCGAGACUUUGACAACGUUGUUUGAAAGGAUUGGAUGAAGAGCUUUUUCUCCCUAUCUUCUUGCUUAAAGCAUGUUCGCAAGGACCCUCUUAUCUUUAAUCAACGAGUGUUUGGUGACAUUCUUCGGAGGAAGAGAAAGGUGGAGAAUAGGCUAAAAGGGGUGCAACAUAGACUUGAGAAAGACUCACAUUUGGAAUAUGAGGAAAUCCUUCUCCAAGAAGAGUUCCUUUGGUUCCAAAAGUCAGGGGAGAAUUGGGUCUGCUUUGGAGAUAGGAAUAUGUGUUUUUUCCAUACCCAAACUAUUGUUCAACGCAAUAGAAAUAAGAUCCAUGGCCUUUUUCUUUGAUGAUGGGUCUUGGCAAACUGACCCCGCUUUUCUGGAACAAGAAGUUGCUGGGUAUUGUUGUUCCCUCUUUUAUGAUGAUAUUCUUGUGAUUCCUUAUCCUAACCUUAUAGGACUUUGCUUAAUAUUGGAGAGGAGGGCUAUCAUGCCUUUUUGGAAAAUGUUACUAGAGAGGAAGUAAGGACUGCUAUUAUGGGGAUGAAAUCCUUCAAGGCACCAGGCCUGGAUGGAUUUCAAUCUUUUUUUCUAUAACCAAUAUUGGCCAAUUAUUGGUGAUGACUUGUGGAAAACAGUAGUUAAGACGUUCUCAGAUGGUCAUGCAAAUUCUGCUUUACUAGAGACUCUCCUCGUCCUUAUUCCUAGGUUUGAUCACCCAAAUUGUUUGAAGGAUUUCUGCCCGAUCAGCUUAUGCAACGUGGCCUAGAAGAUGAUAACGAAGAUCCUAGUCUCUAAACUUCGUCCUUUUUUUAAAUGAUCUGGUGGGUCCUUUCUAGGGGAGCUUUAUCUCGGGAUAGGUUUUUCAUCAUAUCUCUAGUACAAAGGCAAAAUAUGGUUCAUGUGCUAUCAAAAUUGACCUGGAAAAGGUGUAUGAUCAGAUUAAUUGGAAUUUCCUUCAAGACACCCUCCAAGAGUUUGGUUUUCCUUAUCGUAUCAUUCAGUUAAUCAUGUGAGGGAUUUGAGUAUCUAGAUUGUUACUCUUGUGGAAUGGCUCUCGUUUGGAUCGAGAGCUUUUCUCCUUUAGAGGCCUCCAACAAGGUGACCCUCUAUCGCCAUAUUUGUUUGUCCUCUGCAUGGAGCGUCUUGCUCUAUGCAUACAUGAUCUCACCUCCCAAUGAAUUUGGCGGCCCAUUUUAGUUUCAGAUGAUAAUCGACUCGUUCCUUACCUUAUGCUCGUUGAUGACAUUUUUCUCUUCAUUAAUGCGAUAGGAGACUAAGCCUAUUUGGCAUCUUUGACCCUUUAGAACUUUUUCCAAACAUUUGGACUAAAGCUUAACUUGGAUAAAUCUAGCAUGUAUUGUUCUUAAAGGAUGGCUCCUGUCUUGAGAGACCUCAUUAGCAAUACUCUUAAUAUUGUGCAUGCUCCUAGUCUUGGGAAGUACCUUUGCCUGAAGUUCAUUCAUGGACGUUCUAAAAUAGUGGACUUUCUCCUUGUGGAGCGCAUCCAUAACCCUUGGCCUCGUGGAAGGGGAAGCUUCUUAACCAAGCAAGUAAACAUUGUUUGACGUAGUUGGUCCUCCAUGCCUUCCCUAUUUAUCCUAUGGAGGCUUCCUGGCUCCCUCAAAGUAUUUUUCAAGCUAUUGACAAAGCUAGUCGGGUUACGAUUUGGAACAAGGUUGGAGCAUCUCUAAGUUGGCACUCAGUGAGCUGAAGUACUGCCUCCAAGCCUCUUUGGGUGACCUGGGGCUUAAGGACUCGAGAUCAAUUAAUACUUUCACUUCUGGGUAAAUAAGGUUGGCAUUUGAUGAACUCUCCCAUAAGUCAUGGGUUAAUGUUAUGAGGCAUAAAUAUCUUAGGGAGCACAAUGUUUUAAAUGGUCCUAUCACUAAUCGUGGGUCCUUCGUUUAGCAGAGCAUCCAGAAGGCAAUUGUGUCCUUUCAAGUUGGGUUUGGUGUGAGAUUGGGAGAUAGUCAAUCUCCACUUUGGCAUUUAGACUACCUUGGUAGGGGUAACUUAGUCUCCAGGUUCCUUACAUUCAUAUUCGUGACUCGCGAGCUUUGGUUGAGAGUGAGUAAUGGUAAUGGUAGUCUUCUAUCCCACACAAAUUUAUUUGCUUGGACCCAGGCUGUUCUAUCUAAUAAUGACUGUGCUUAUAAGGUUUUGGAGGCUUGGUGGGCGUGGAAGUGGUGUAAUUAGGUGAUUUUCUCCCCCCUAAUUUGGUCUUUUCAGUUUAUCAAAAAGAUCCAUUGCUAAGGAUAUUGCCUUCAAUCAAGUUUAGUUUCAAAGGAUCUGGUUUCUAGUAAAAGGUUGACUUGGACCUCUCCUCCCCCUUUAUUGAAUGAAGUGAAAUUAAACGUGGAUGGGAGUGGUCAUUAUGAGCCACAUGUGAUGGAGGUUGGUGGGUUGAUUAGAGAUGGUGUUGGAAGAUGGCUCUUCAGGUUUGCUCGUCAUUGUGGUUUGGGCAACCCUCUUCUUUCUGAGCUCUUUGCUUUAGAAGCAUCUCUUAGGAGUCAUAUUGUAUGAACAUGGUGGAGUUGCUUAUUGAUUGGCCAAAUGAGUAGAUAAGCAUGUAUGCUCAUGCAAAUACUAAUUCAUUCUAUUAGGAGCUUCAUGAAGAGGGAUUGGUCCUUUUCUCUUUGUCACGUGAAUACGAAGGUGAAUUCAGUUGUCGAUUUCUUGGCCGAAUGGGGCGCUAGGAUGACAAAGUCAACUCUUUCCUGGCCACUCCCCCAAAUGAAGUGCUCGAAAUCCUUCAUAGGUACUCCUUGGCUGCUAUGUAGUCCUUUGUUUAGUUUAUUCUUUAUUUCAUGUAUUUCGCACCAAAAAAAAAAACUUGUGCAAUUCCAUGAACCACACGGGUUUAAAAUCUAGUAUUCUAGUAAUUUAUUAUGAAGUCUCCCUUUUAAAAAAACUUGAAUUUGAUUAAUAUAUAUUAGUUUUUUAGAUGAUAUCACGUCAUCCAUUAUAUGAUGAUAAAAAAUUAAAAUAAUUUUUUUAAUAAAAAAAAUUUAUUAGGUAUCCAAAAUAAAAAUCAUUUAUCAAAGACUUCAACCAUAUUUAAGCCAAAUAAAUUUUACUAAAAAGAUAAGGAGUAUAAAUAUAAUUUAGUCAUAUAAAAUUAGUACACAUUACAUGAUUAUAUAACAAAAUCGAGUUGUUACAUGAAGAUGACGAUUGUGUUCACUCUUCCUUUUCUUAAUUAGGUUUCUCUAUUCAUCAACAAAGGAAUUUCUCUUUCAUAUUUUCCUAAGCAUAUAUUCUUCUUAAGCAUGUUUUCUCCUUGAAUGUUGGUUAUAGGAUAUUUUUAAUUAAAGGAAUUUCCCCUAAAUUUUCUUUGUGUGCUUUUGCUGGUUGACUGACCUCUAGUUGUAUCCUUUUCCUGUGGAUUUUAGUUGUGGGUGUUAGCUUCCCCUCUUCAACAAAAAAAAUCAAACACUACAUUAAUAAUUAGAUACUCCUUUACACUUGGUUUGGAUAGGAAGCGAAAUGAAACGAUUUAAUUGAUUCAUGUUUUUUUAGAGGAUUAAAGAAAUAUUGAUUGAUGUAUUUUUUUAGUGAAAUUUUGUAUUGUUUAGAAUGAUAGAUUUUGAAGAUUAUGAUAUAAAGUGAUUUAAUUCCAUGUUUGGUUAUAAGGAAAAUUAGAGGAAAAUAGUUGAAAAAUAUCAUUAAAACAUAACUUCAUUCAUAUAAAUAAAAUUAAUUUUAAAUAAAAUAUUAUUUGAAAUACAAUUUCAAUUCAAUAAUUUGACAAAAUUGCAAAAUAUAUAUAUUAAUUAUUUUAUAUAUAAUUAAUUUUUUAAUUAAAUAUCUUAAAACAAUUGUUUGAAAAUUAACUAUUUCAAACAAAAUUAUUUUCACAUACACUCUAAUUUAUUUUCUUUAAAUUAAAUUCAAUCAUUGCAUCUUUUUAAUACAAAAAAUAUAACUGCAUGAGUGCGUGAUAAAAAAAAAACGAUGUGCAUGUAUAAACAGGUACAACAACACUCCAAAUUCCUAUUUCCUUUCAAAAUCACAGCAAUGGAAAAGGGAAAUGGAAUAUUGAGUGUUGGAUCAAGCCGAGAAUCUAGAAUAUGGUGUUGAGUAGAUUCUUUCAAAAAAUUUACCAAAUCAUUUUGAAUAGCAAUUAAAAAUACUCCUUUAAAUCAAUCAAAGUUUUUUCAAAAGAGUUUUAGAAAACAAACUUUUAUGAUGAUCCUUUGAAAUCAAUUUCACUCCUAAGAUUAUUACAAAACUCAAUAGUUAUAAAGAAUAAGAGAAUCACACAAGAGUUUAUAUUGAUUUAGUUCAAUUUGGACCUAUAUCCAGCUUGUUCUAAGUCACCUGAGAACAUCCACUAUAUAGAAAACACUAGGACAAACACUAUGCACACAAAAUUCUCUAAUAUAAAACAAACCUUUCUCUUGAACCCUACAAGAAAAGAUUCAGAAUUGAAACCCUAUCAAUUCUUCAACAUCCCUAAUAACUCUAACCAAAAAGACAAGGAUAGAAUACGCCUAAAAAGUGUAAAUCUUUGAUCUUCAAUAUGUCUUCACAAGUUGAUCAAUUCAUGAUUGUAAAAUGAGUGAUUCUUUGAUCAACUUCAAUCUUUAGACUUACUGUCAUACUAUUUUCUUUUAUGACUCUCUUAAAAGGGUUUUUUUUCUUACACUAAACGAAUUAAAAGUCACUUAAAAAGAUUGAGAAUUGAAACCCUAUCAAUUCUUCAACAUCCCUAGUAACUCUAACCAAGAACAACACUCUAAAAAGAUUAAAAAGACAAGGAUAGAAUACGCCUAAAAAGUGUAAAUUUUUUAUCUUCAAUAUGUCUUCACAAGUUGAUCAAUUCUUGAUUGUAAAAUGAGUGAUUCUUUGAUCAACUUCAAUCUUUAGACUUACUGUCAUGCUAUUUUCUUUUAGGACUCUCUUAAAAGGGUUUUUUUUUUCUUACAUUGAACGAAUUAAAAGUCACUUAAAAAGAAAACACAUAGAGCUAUUUAUAAAUUUUGACAGUUAAAAUAGAUCUAAUCGAUUAUAAAAACAAAUAAUCGAUUAAUUCGUCAAAAUCCCUUUGUUCUAUAAUUCCAAAAACUAGUUAAUCGAUUAUUAGAAGGGGUAAUCACUUAAUUAGUUUCAAUCUAAGAAUUUCAGUUUCUCUUGUGUUGAGUGAAUAAUUAAUUAUCAUGUGUGAUAAUCGAUUAUAGAUUCACACACAGAGUUUCUCUUUGUUUCCAGGAAUUAGGUAAUCGAUUAUCAAAUGGAGUAAUCGAUUAUCCUAAGUUGUGAAAUCUUUUUUCUUCUGAAACUAGCUUGGACAGUCAACUACCAAAUGAGACAAUCAAUUAAUUCGAUGCUGUUAGCCAAAUUUCAAAUAAAAGUGGGCCCUUUAAGAAACUCAGAGAAAAAAAAUCUUCAUUUACCUCAUAACUAUCAAGCACUAAGCAUGAAAAAGAUAAAACUAUAUCAGACACACAUGCCUAGACUAAAACAACUAAUAUAAAUGUCUCAUCUAUCAAAACAUGUUAGGCAUUACAAAAUUAUCAAAACAAAACUAAACUAGGGACUUCAUGCUCUUCAAGAGUUUUGUUCUAACAUUGAGGCCCAUGGCAUUUUAUCACUUUCUCCUUCCUAAUUUCCUAUCAAACAAAUAAGGGAAAUAAUGUUGUCGAAUGUCAAGCUAAAUUACCAACAUUAACUAAUUUAGAGUCAAUUUUUCUUUUAUAAUUCCAAAAACUAAAACGACAUGUUAUUUUACUCUCAUCGAUAGUAAUACACUAUACAAAAAAAGGAUCAAAACGUGGGGAAAGGAAUAGUUCCAAUAUAAUGAAAUAAGAAAUAUGGAGAAAGACCGGAAUUUGUUUCAGUAGGCAGAGUUACUUCUCCAACUCUCUUCUGCCGUUCUGCUCCUCUUCUUAAAGGGCAGAGCCAAAAUUUGUCUGUAUAUUUGUUUUCAAUAUGUUUUUGUGUUGUUGGUCUUUUUUAGACUUGCACAUUAUUUCGCAGUUCCUGGCCCAUGGUUUCAAUUGGGAAGAACAUGACACAUAUUCCUGAAACAAGAGAUACGAUCUCAAACAGAAGGACAG